AUCAGUUCUCGGCCUUUUGGCUAAGAUCAAGUGUAGUAUUUGUUCUUAUCAGUUUAAAAAUAAAUAAACAUUUAAAAUUUAGAAAAAGAAUAUAU
rnacentral:snRNA from 1 species